GUCGUCCGGCACCUGGGACCGGUCAUUAGGCGUCGGUCACUGGGGGUCGGUCAUCCAGGGUCACUCACCCCUGGAGGGUCAGUCACCCGGAGUUGAUCACCCUCACAGGGCCCGUCACCCCGUGGAGAGUCAGUCACUCAGGGUCAGUCACCCGGGGUCUGUGACCUACAGAGCGUCGGUCACCGUCGAAGAGUCGGUCAACCCUGGAGGGCCGGUCAGUCACCCGGUCACUCGAGGUUAGUCUCCUGAGGCUGCAGCUGCGCUGCCCUGGCAAAGGAGGUGGGCGACGUGGCGUGGUCCGAGUGGCGGGCAGUGAGAGCCCGAGGCUGCCGAGGGGUCACAGCAAACACAGGUCCGUGCCGAGAGAAAUGAACCACUGGUUGGAAGAAAGUAAUUCUUCUCCUAUCUGCUAAGGGGUACAGUGCACACACCCUUCCUUAGCUCCUCCGGGUUUGGAUAACAUGAUCAAAGGGGGGCAAAAAAAAGAAGCAAAAUAGAAUCCUUGAAAAAUUAAUGGGGUACCACAGCAAUGAGACAUCAGUUGCUCCUGUUGACAUUGGCUCAGGUAUCAUGAAGAUUUCUAAUGCCAAGCUCGUAUGUGUGAUUACCUAUAUUUUUUAUUUGCCAGUUGAAAAUUUUUCUAUUUAAGAUUAACUUUUUCUGUCUCCCUGUGAUAUCAACUCACUUCACUUUUUACAGAUUAGUAACGCAUAUCUGUAUAUUAAUGGUAUUUUUACAUCAGAGACUAGGUUAACACACAGACUUUUGUUUCAAGUGCAGUCUUACUAUCAUGUCAGUGUGAUUUCUGGUGGACUUAAUAAAAAAUGACCACUGAAAAACAGACAUCUCUGUUUCCAGGCAUAAAAAUUUACACUUUUGAAAUCAAUCCCUUGCAUCUCUCCACUUCUUAGACACUAACACUGUACCUUAAUUUCUGGAAGUUAAUUUAGUAAGUAUUUCAGCCGUAAACACAUUAGAAAAAUCUUGUUGCAUUUUUAAAGUUUAAGCCACAAAUCCUAAAAGUGUUUCUGUACAGAAAGGAAGUAGUAAUGUCAGUUAAAAUAAUAAAA